rnacentral:rRNA from 1 species
GCGGUGCGCUGCUUACCUGCAAGUCGAACGAUGAAGCCCUUCGGGGUGGAUUAGUGGCGAACGGGUGAGUAACACGUGGGCAAUCUGCCCUGCACUCUGGGACAAGCCCUGGAAACGGGGUCUAAUACCGGAUAUGACUGUCCGCCGCAUGGUGGAUGGUGUAAAGCUCCGGCGGUGCAGGAUGAGCCCGCGGCCUAUCAGCUUGUUGGUGAGGUAGUGGCUCACCAAGGCGACGACGGGUAGCCGGCCUGAGAGGGCGACCGGCCACACUGGGACUGAGACACGGCCCAGACUCCUACGGGAGGCAGCAGUGGGGAAUAUUGCACAAUGGGCGAAAGCCUGAUGCAGCGACGCCGCGUGAGGGAUGACGGCCUUCGGGUUGUAAACCUCUUUCAGCAGGGAAGAAGCGAAAGUGACGGUACCUGCAGAAGAAGCGCCGGCUAACUACGUGCCAGCAGCCGCGGUAAUACGUAGGGCGCAAGCGUUGUCCGGAAUUAUUGGGCGUAAAGAGCUCGUAGGCGGCUUGUCACGUCGGUUGUGAAAGCCCGGGGCUUAACCCCGGGUCUGCAGUCGAUACGGGCAGGCUAGAGUUCGGUAGGGGAGAUCGGAAUUCCUGGUGUAGCGGUGAAAUGCGCAGAUAUCACGAGGAACACCGGUGGCGAAGGCGGAUCUCUGGGCCGAUACUGACGCUGAGGAGCGAAAGCGUGGGGAGCGAACACGAUUAUAUACCCUGGUAGUCCACGCCGUAAACGGUGUGCACUAUGUGUGGGCAACAUUCCACGUUGUCCGUGCCGCAGCUAACGCAUUAAGUGCCCCGCCCUGGGGAGUACGCGCACGCUAAACUCAAAGAAAUUUGACGGGGGCCCCGCACAAGCGGGGCGGGGAG